GCUUGGUUUCAUUAGUCAGUCCGUGUGAUUCACCCGUAGGAAUCCACGGUCUGCUAUUCCCCAAUUGCGCCACAACGGGUAACCGCUAACGAGCUAGAAAAGUUACUCAUACUUAACUAAAGCCAGAGCCAUUAUAGCCCUCAUGGUUGCACUGUUGUCCCGGUUAUCACUUACAGAUAAAUCAUCAAGUGGCUAAAAGUCAUUUUUAUCAUUUAUUACUUGACAUUAAUCUAGUCACAGGAUCAUGGUCACAGAAAUAAAAUCCAAAU
rnacentral:lncRNA from 1 species